AUUGUGCUGAUGGAACAGGAAUGGAAUCUUUAAAAGUACCUAAUUGUCCCUCAGGAGGCUCCUUAAAAACACAGAAAUGGAGCUACCAGGUAAACCCUCUGCCAUUUUGUGGUUUGCCCAACUUCCUGGGAGAUGCCUGACUGCAACUCAGCUGACACACACGUUCCUUAAACGUUUCCCUCUAAAUGAGAUUAAACACCCAAAUAAUCCAGCCACCCUGUCACCAGCACUGAUCACCAGCUCUGAGGUAUAUUCCCAGACUCCAAAUGUGAGCCAGAAGUUGCUGCAUGGCACAUCACAGGAAUGCCUGAAAGGAUCAAUCCCAGCUGUUUGAAGCCAACAGUACAGAAGACAGGAGGGAGCAAACAUCCCCUGGAAGCUGUGUGCUUUGUCAUGCUAAUCCUCUUUGUUCUGACUUGGCAAAAAUUGAGUGUAUUAAUCCCAAAUUCUGCAGCAGUCCCACCAAAGUCAACAGCAAAGUUCACUACUUGUGAAUUGUUCACACUUGUGCAUGAGUAAGUGACUACAGAAUGUCAGUGCUGCCACUAAACUCAAGAUCUGCAACAGCUCAAAUUUCUUCACUGCUGGACAGAUAAAGUUCACUGUGUCAUAAAGAGAAACUUGCUAUUGGACUUUGAAACUCUAAAACUUGGGAAUCUUUGCAGAGGAAGGAAAGGUAGAUUGAAUCCCCUUUUAUGGAGGAGUAAGGGGACUGAGUACUCCUUAAAACACUCUAGCCCUGAGGCAGGCAGCACACGAGCCUUGCAAAACAGAUGGCUGGGACGCUCCCAUCUGUCUUAUAAGAACACUAUCAGCCAGGAACCAGUUUUUCAGUCUUCUAUCUCCAGAGCACCAUAAAGGAAUUAUAGCAAACCAGUGGCUUCAGACCAAUAAAUACAGAUAGAUUGCAUCUGAUAAUCUGAACUACACUGUAUCCUGGAGAGACGCAUCCUCCAGCAGACCUCGCAUUUCAACUUCUUUCUGUUACCUAAACUUUUUCUGCACAGACUAAACAAUCUCAUUUUACACUCAAUUAUAGAAAGCUCACAGCACGGCCGGGGGGCUGUGGAAAGUUGUAAGUUGAAAUAUUUUUAAACAAGCUGACGACACCGCACAGCUAUGAAAAGUUGGGGUGAAGCAAUCAAACAGCGCAGAGCCAGAGCUGCAAAGUGACUCCAGAUUUGAACUUCCCCGUGCGAGUCCAGGAGUCAGUUCAGUUCAUUAUAAAGAAGAGGUUUGGCUCCAGAAUUAAUGUUUAGAUCCAAUCCUCCACAGAGAUGAGUGAUGUUUGGCUCAGGAUUCUGGUGGCAGGCCCAUCACUAAUGAAAAGCAUUUCUCAAAAUCCCAAGCCAGAUCUUCAGUGUAAUUGAGUGUAGAUCCCAUUACUGACCCUAAGCACCAAACUUCAGCGGAAAACCCAGGCUGCCAGCUCUAACUCGUACAAGGCUUAGCUUACUCGGCACCAAAAGCCAUGCCGGGGUCUCGAUGCAGACAAAAGGGGCCACCAACUUACGUUCGGGCUUGCUCUCGCAGUUGAACCCUCGGCUCCCACCGUAGCAGGUACAGACCAGCGUGUUUCCCAGAUCUGUUCUGGUGGGCACCAGUUGGAGUUGAUGAAGACCAAAAGACUUUUUUCCAAAAUGUCCUCUCUCUCUUCCACAACCCCGUUUCCAGUGCUGCAGGAAUAUCAAGUGUUUCCAGCAACAUGCAGGAGGAUGUUUCAAAUGAGGAGUAGCCAACCUCUUGCUGCUUGUGCUUUCUGCUCCUACUAAUCACUGCUUUAUUCUCCCCUGUGCAAAAAAACUUACAUUUGAUAUCAGCAAGUGGUUGGCUCCAGCCUCAGUGCCUUCAGCAGGCUGCCGGAUGAGCUCUGCCCUGGAGUGAACGUGUCAGAUGGGGCACAAGCCAGAGGUACCAAAGAAAUUUUAAUCGAUCAGCAGGGGAUCGUGUUCUCUUGGACACCCAGGAGCGCUGGAUAAUGAAGUGCUGGGCUAAAGGAGGCACAACCAUUCUGUCACAGCACUGCAAAAUGCCCUAAAAGAACAUCACCCACAAACCCAGGCAGAAUCAGUGGUGGUUUCCUUCCAUGGACUCACCUUCCCUCUCUGACUCUGUACCCACCAGAGGAGACAGGAGGUAGGAGACUCCUGGGAACCCGAAAUGCAGGGGCUGAAGCUGAAGGUUGAAGUGUGUGGAGGUGCUCAGCUAUUGCAGGACGGUCUGAGGUGUUUAACCUCAGUCUGCACAUCUGAUGCUCUCCAAAAAGCGCUGAAGACUGAGCCCUCUGUC